rnacentral:rRNA from 1 species
AUUGAACGCUGGCGGCAGGCCUAACACAUGCAAGUCGAACGAGUGGCGGACGGGUGAGUAAUGUCUGGGAAACUGUCUGAUGGAGGGGGAUAACUACUGGAAACGGUAGCUAAUACCGCAUACCAUCAGAUGUGCCCAGAUGGGAUUAGCUCGUAGGUGGGGUAAUGGCUCACCUAGGCGACGAUCCCUAGCUGGUCUGAGAGGAUGACCAGCCAAACUGGAACGGGGACACGGUCCAGACUCCGAGGGGAGGAGGCCGUGGGGAAUAUUGCACAAUGGGCGCAAGCCGAAUGCAGCCAUGCCGCGUGUGUGAAGAAGGCCUUCGGGUUGUAAAGCACUUUCAGCGGGGAGGCGUUACCCGCAGAAGAAGCACCGGCUAACUCCGUGCCAGCAGCCGCGGUAAUAC